rnacentral:rRNA from 1 species
GAUAAACGCUGGCGGCAUGCCUAAUACAUGCAAGUCGAACGCUCUCGAUCUUCGGAUCAAUGAGAGAGUGGCGAACGGGUGAGUAACACGUAAGAAAUCUGCCCUAAAGACGAGGAUAACUAUUGGAAACGAUAGCUAAUACUGGAUAGGACAUAAGAUCGCAUGGUCUAAUGUUUAAAGGUGCGUUCGCACCACUUUAGGAUGAUCUUGCGCUGCAUUAGCUAGUUGGUAAGGUAACGGCUUACCAAGGCGAUGAUGCAUAGCUGGACUGAGAGGUUGAACAGCCACACUGGGACUGAGACACGGCCCAG